rnacentral:rRNA from 1 species
GACGAACGCUGGCGGCGUGCUUAACACAUGCCAGUCGAACGGAAAGGCCUUGCUUUUGUGGGGUGCUCGAGUGGCGAACGGGUGAGUAACACGUGAGUAACCUGCGCUUGACUUUGGGAUAACUUCAGGAAACUGGGGCUAAUACCGGAUAGGAGCUCCUGCUGCAUGGUGGGGGUUGGAAAGUUUCGGCGGUUGGGGAUGGACUCGCGGCUUAUCAGCUUGUUGGUGGGGUAGUGGCUUACCAAGGCUUUGACGGGUAGCCGGCCUGAGAGGGUGACCGGCCACAUUGGGACUGAGAUACGGCCCAGACUCCUACGGGAGGCAGCAGUGGGGAAUAUUGCACAAUGGGCGGAAGCCUGAUGCAGCAACGCCGCGUGCGGGAUGACGGCCUUCGGGUUGUAAACCGCUUUCGCCUGUGACGAAGCGUGAGUGACGGUAAUGGGUAAAGAAGCACCGGCUAACUACGUG